GAUGAACGCUGGCGGCGUGCCUAAUACAUGCAAGUCGAGCGAACAGAUAAGGAGCUUGCUCCUUUGACGUUAGCGGCGGACGGGUGAGUAACACGUGGGUAACCUACCUAUAAGACUGGAAUAACUCCGGGAAACCGGGGCUAAUGCCGGACAACAUUUAGAACCGCAUGGUUCUAAAGUGAAAGAUGGUUUUGCUAUCACUUAUAGAUGGACCCGCGCCGUAUUAGCUAGUUGGUAAGGUAAUGGCUUACCAAGGCAACGAUACGUAGCCGACCUGAGAGGGUGAUCGGCCACACUGGAACUGAGACACGGUCCAGACUCCUACGGGAGGCAGCAGUAGGGAAUCUUCCGCAAUGGGCGAAAGCCUGACGGAGCAACGCCGCGUGAGUGAUGAAGGGUUUCGGCUCGUAAAACUCUGUUAUUAGGGAAGAACAAACGUGUAAGUAACUGUGCACGUCUUGACGGUACCUAAUCAGAAAGCCACGGCUAACUACGUGCCAGCCGCCGCUGUAAUAC
rnacentral:rRNA from 1 species